GGCGGUUAGCGAUCAAAACAGAUUAUACCAUAAUCUAAAUUUGCACAUCAGACAUGCGACUAUAUUUAUUUUCAAUCUAAUGUAUUGUUUUCAAAAGCGAAUAGAUGACAGUGUUGAGUUGGAAAAACAAUAAUAUAUUAUUUGAUUCUUUACGGUUUCUUUCGAAUUCAAAGUCUGAUUGGCACUUUAGUAUCUGCCGCCUCUAUUUAUU
rnacentral:lncRNA from 1 species